UGGUGCUCUCUUUUUAAUGUUUUUAAAGAGUCCAUAAAUAAUAGCAUUAAGGCAACUGUAGAAAUCUGCAAUGUACUAAUAUACAACCAUUCUAGAGAUUAAGGUAACAUUUUAUAAGACUGAAAAAAUAGUAGAGUUGCAGAUUUUUUCCCCUUUUAGCUAUUUGUCAACUCAUCACAACUCAAAGUAGUUAAUAAAUAACUCUGAUUUUGUUCUUGUUGGCAAUAACAGUGUACUUCUAAGACAGAGAGACGCACAAUGUCAAGGUAAAAAUUGGAGUAAUUAAAAAUAAAUCUAAGAAGUUAGCAAAAAAGGGUAGUGUCAGAUUAUUGAUAAUAUAUUAUCAAUUUAGAUUAUGAUCCAACAUUGGUUAAUUGUUGAACCUUUGUUUUAGUUUGGAAGUUAUAUUACACAAUGCAGAAGAUAAUACGUAU